UAAUACGUAGGUGGCAAGCGUUGUCCGGAAUCAUUGGGCGUAAAGAGCGCGUAGGUGGCUUGUCAGGUCUGGUGUGAAAUUUCGGGGCUCAACCCCGAACCUGCAUCGGAAACCGGCUUGCUAGAGUCUGGGAGAGGAGAGUGGAAUUCCUGGUGUAGCGGUGAAAUGCGUAGAUAUCAGGAGGAACACCGGUAGCGAAGGCGGCUCUCUGGAACAGUACUGACGCUGAGGCGCGAAAGCUAGGGGAGCGAACAGG
rnacentral:rRNA from 1 species